GCGGACGUGGCGGAAUUGGCAUACGCGUACGGCUUAGGACCGUAUCCCAUUGGGAUGAGAGUUCAAGUCUCUCCGUCCGCACCA
rnacentral:tRNA from 1 species